rnacentral:rRNA from 1 species
GACAGAGGUCCCGAGCGUUAGGCGGAAUCACUGGGCUUAAAGGGCGCGUAGGCGGCUUGCCAAGUCAGGGGUGAAAUCCUGCAGCUCAACUGUAGAAGUGCCUUUGAUACUGGCGAGCUCGAGGGAGGUAGGGGUGGGUGGAACCUCUGGUGGAGCGGUGAAAUGCGUUGAUAUCAGAAGGAACGCCGGUGGCGAAAGCGACUGUCUGGGGUGCUUGUGACGCUGAGGCGCGAAAGCCAGGGGAUCAAACGGG